rnacentral:rRNA from 1 species
AAUGGGGGAAACCCUGACGCAGCAACGCCGCGUGGGUGAUGAAGGCCUUCGGGUCGUAAAGCCCUGUGGGGAGGGAAGAAAUGAUUGAGAGCUAAUACCUCUUGAUCUUGACGGUACCUCCGAAGGAAGCACCGGCUAACUCCGUGCCAGCAGCCGCGGUAAUACGGAGGAUCCGGGCGUUAUCCGGAAUUACUGGGUUUAAAGGGUGCGUAGGCGGGGCUUUAAGCCGGCGGUGAAGUGCAGCGGCUCUACCGCUGGAAUGCCGUUGGGACUGGGGCCCUUGGAUACGGUCGGGGCGGGUGGAACUCGUGGUGUAGCGGUGAAAUGCAUAGAUAUCACGAGGAACGCCGGUAGCGAAGGCAGCUCGCCGGGCCGGUAUUGACGCUGAGUCACGAAAGCGUGGGGAUCGAA